AUGAUCUCCCCGCUUGCGGGGGUGAUUAGUGGCGAACGGGUGAGUAAUACGUGAGUAACCUGCCCUUGACUCUGGGAUAAGCCUGGGAAACCGGGUCUAAUACUGGAUACUACUCCUUAUCGCAUGGUGGGGGGUGGAAAGGGUUUUACUGGUUUUGGAUGGGCUCACGGCCUAUCAGCUUGUUGGUGGGGUAAUGGCUCACCAAGGCGACGACGGGUAGCCGGCCUGAGAGGGUGACCGGCCACACUGGGACUGAGACACGGCCCAGACUCCUACGGGAGGCAGCAGUGGGGAAUAUUGCACAAUGGGCGGAAGCCUGAUGCAGCGACGCCGCGUGAGGGAUGACGGCCUUCGGGUUGUAAACCUCUUUCAGCAGGGAAGAAGCCACAAGUGACGGUACCUGCAGAAGAAGCGCCGGCUAACUACGUGCCAGCAGCCGCGGUAAUACGUAGGGCGCAAGCGUUGUCCGGAAUUAUUGGGCGUAAAGAGCUCGUAGGCGGUCUGUCGCGUCUGCUGUGAAAGCCCGGGGCUCAACCCCGGGUCUGCAGUGGGUACGGGCAGACUAGAGUGCAGUAGGGGAGACUGGAAUUCCUGGUGUAGCGGUGAAAUGCGCAGAUAUCAGGAGGAACACCGAUGGCGAAGGCAGGUCUCUGGGCUGUUACUGACGCUGAGGAGCGAAAGCAUGGGGAGCGAACAGGAUUAGAUACCCUGGUAGUCCAUGCCGUAAACGUUGGGCACUAGGUGUGGGGGACAUUCCACGUUCUCCGCGCCGUAGCUAACGCAUUAAGUGCCCCGCCUGGGGAGUACGGCCGCAAGGCUAAAACUCAAAGGAAUUGACGGGGGCCCGCACAAGCGGCGGAGCAUGCGGAUUAAUUCGAUGCAACGCGAAGAACCUUACCAAGGCUUGACAUUCACCGGACCGCACUGGAGACAGUGCUUCCCUUCGGGGUCGGUGGACAGGUGGUGCAUGGUUGUCGUCAGCUCGUGUCGUGAGAUGUUGGGUUAAGUCCCGCAACGAGCGCAACCCUCGUUCUAUGUUGCCAGCACG
rnacentral:rRNA from 1 species